AAGGAUCAUUACAAGUGAGGCUACCGAACGCUGGAAACAGUGGUUAGGAGCUUACACCCACCCGUGUUUACAUACUAUUGUUGCUUUGGCGGGCCGUGGCCUCCACUACGGGCUCUGCUCGUGUGUGCCCGCCAGAGGACCAAACUCUGAAUGUUAGUGAUGUCUGAGUACUAUCUAAUAGUUAAAACUUUCAACAACGGAUCUCUUGGUUCUGGCAUCGAUGAAGAACGCAGCGAAAUGCGAUAAGUAAUGUGAAUUGCAGAAUUCAGUGAAUCAUCGAAUCUUUGAACGCACAUUGCGCCCUGUGGUAUUCCGCAGGGCAUGCCUGUUCGAGCGUCAUUUAACCACUCACGCCUAGCGUGGUAUUGGGGCACGCGGUCUCGCGGCCCUCAAAAUCAGUGGCGGCGCCGGUGGGCUCUAAGCGUAGUACAUACUCCCGCUAUAGAGUUCCCCCGGUGGCUCGCCAGAACCCCCAAUUUUUACAGGUUGACCUCGGAUCAGGUAGGGAUACCCGCUGAACUUAA
rnacentral:misc_RNA from 1 species